UACGUAGGUGGCAAGCGUUGUCCGGAUUUACUGGGCGUAAAGAGCGCGCAGGCGGUCGUUCAAGUCGCGUGUGAAAGCCCCCGGCUCAACUGGGGAGGGUCACGCGAUACUGAUCGACUCGAAGGCAGGAGAGGGUAGUGGAAUUCCCGGUGUAGUGGUGAAAUGCGUAGAUAUCCGGAGGAACACCGAAGGCGAAGGCAGUGUCCUGGCGAGUGACUGACGCUGAGGUGCGAAAGCCAGGGGAGCGAACGGG
rnacentral:rRNA from 1 species